GCCUCUGUAGCCAAGUGAUAAGGCUGUUGGUUGCAACCCAAUGAGCGUAGGUUUGAAUCCUAUCAGAGGCU
rnacentral:tRNA from 1 species